AUUGAACGCUGGCGGCAUGCCUAACACAUGCAAGUCGAGCGGCAGCGCGGGUGGCAACACCUGGCGGCGAGUGGCGGACGGGUGAGUAACGCGUGGGAAUCUGCCCUGUAGUGGGGGACAACCUGGGGAAACCCAGGCUAAUACCGCAUACGCUCUACGGAGGAAAACGGGGGAUCUUCGGACCUCGUGCUAUAGGAUGAGCCCACGUUAGAUUAGCUAGUUGGUAGGGUAAUGGCCUACCAAGGCAACGAUCUAUAGCUGGUCUGAGAGGACGACCAGCCACACUGGGACUGAGACACGGCCCAGACUCCUACGGGAGGCAGCAGUGGGGAAUAUUGGACAAUGGGGGAAACCCUGAUCCAGCGACGCCGCGUGGGUGAGGAAGUUCUUCGGAAUGUAAAGCCCUUUUGUCGGGGACGAUGGGCAGAACGGCUAAUACCCGUUUUGUUUGACUUAACCCAAAGAAUAAGCCCCGGCUAACUACGUGCCAGCAGCCGCGGUAAUACGUAGGGGGCAAGCGUUAAUCGGAUUUACUGGGCGUAAAGCGUGCGUAGGCGGUUUUAUAAGUCGGAUGUGAAAGCCCCGGGCUUAACUUGGGA
rnacentral:rRNA from 1 species